UACUUCUGAUUCAAGUAUCCCUGUUGUGGGCCUUUGCAUGUGAUGAGGUCACACGUUAAAACAAUUAAGACCACCUGAGCUGUGGUAGAGCUGCCUGUGUUGAAGCUGGGGGGAUACAUCACCAUGGUUAUUGCCUAAACGAGACAGGUGUCUCUGUCAGUAGUAACAGCCUGAGGGAAAGCAAGAGUCUUAGAGUAAAUUACUUUGGCCGUGUCUAACUCUGUCAGUUUUCCUAAUCUCCUCACCUUGCCUCAUUUUCUUUAUUAUUCCCAAACAAAUCGCAAGGCAACAAGGAAGGGGAAGAAGAGAACAGAAAGAACAGCACGUCAAACUGGAUAGGUCACAAGAAGCACCACUUGUUAACACUUAACCAUUUCAAAUUCCUCAUGGAUGAAUUGGAUUUGUCCACCACUGUGUGGCAAGUCUUUUUGGAUCCUGACAUCAGUGAAAUCGUGAAGUGAAGUCUUUGGGAUAAGGAUGCAUAUGCACACCCUUCACCAAAGGAAGCAGGCAAUAUCUGCGGAGUGCUGUGGAAUGCCAGCAGGACGGGACAUGUUCUGUGAGUUACCUGCAGUCAAGAUGGGUGCUGCUGGGAUCCCGCUCAGUCAGGCACUGCAGACCCAUUUUAUAGACCCUGAAUCUGGGGGGAGAUGUGACUGACUGACAACACAUGCUCAUAAAACCAAGAAGAAGGAAAAAAAUGUCCUGCUCCUCUUACCAGACUGGGUAAUAAAUAGCCUACGACUUGUGGGAAUGAUCUAUUGGUUUUGUGAUGGUUUAUUGUUGGACAUGGCUCUCGCUGCAAGUACAGUAUAGCGAUACACCCUAACCUUUAGAUGACCACGCUUGAUGCGUCCAGGGCAGGCAUGCUGUACGUUGACUCAGGGAUGAAAAGGCCCAUGGGCCGCCCUUAAACGCCUCUGCUCUGUGGAGCCAGCCUGCCUCAGGAGUGCGAAUGUGGAGGACUGUGUCACAUGACACUUGACUGCUGAAACAACUGCUGUUACGAUGGGCCAUUGCAGAGAUUGAUUUAAAACAAAUAGAAAGCUGUGCAAAAAAAAAAAUUGUUGCGCAAAACUCUGCUGAGACUGUUUGGGAGGCAGCAUGUUUUUAGUCUUCCUGUUUCACAGCAAGCUGUCCCGUAUUAAGAUUGUAAUCGCAAUUACUGCUAUUGAAGAACUCCACUCUAAUAAUGCCACAGUAAUCAGUACACAAUGAAUCACUCAUUAAAUCUUGCUU